UUUGAUCCUGUCGUCUGAAACUCCAGUCAUCUUCACUGUAUUACAGAUUUCAUUGAAUGUUGUCAAAUGAUCAUAAGGAUUCUCAUUUGACAGCCCAUGAAAUUGGUUGCUCUACACCAGAUCGAUUAACGCAGGAUUCAUCACCAUAUUAGUUGUGUUGUCCCUUGGCAUGGCAAUACUAUUAAAGUGCAACGGGCCAACAACAUUUGACGCAUCUGCAAGUGUGCAUCUAGGAGGAGCUUGCUCUGCCAUUUCUUCUUCUGUCCUUUGUGAGGAUGCCUCCGGUGAGGGUUGUAAUAGCCUUUCAGGAGAAGGGAAUAAUUCUCUAGACGGACGUCUAACUUUUUUCCCCCUCCUAUCACUCAAUCCUUCUAGAAGAGGUUGACUUUUCUUGCUUCUGGUUUGAACUUCUUCCUGCAUACACAAGAAACAAAAACCCUAAAAGCACUUUUUAAAAAAAAUAAAAAUAAAAAUUAAACAAAAACAAAAUAUAUACAAAGUCAAAUUUAAUUAAUUUUCACUACUUGAAAAGUUAAACCACGAGUCCCCGACAACGGCGCCAAAAACUUGUUAAGCCCCUGACAAGUGUACCAGAUCGUAUCAAGUAAUAAUAGACAGUGAGUCCAGAUCGUUUCCCAAGGAACUCUUAGGCCUUAUCUUUCAUGUAAAUUGAUUGCAUAAGACUUGAAAGAAGAAUAAUUUUGUAAUGUUAAUGCAAAACUAAAUCUAAACAUGCAAAUGCAAAUUGAAUCAAUUGGAAAAUAAAAGAUUUGAAUGAAUGGAGUUGUU
rnacentral:lncRNA from 1 species